UGGGGAAUAUUGGACAAUGGGCGAAAGCCUGAUCCAGCCAUGCCGCGUGUGUGAAGAAGGUCUUCGGAUUGUAAAGCACUUUAAGUUGGAAGGAAGGGCAUUAACCUAAUACGUUAGUGUUUUGACGUUACCGACAGAAUAAGCACCGGCUAACUCUGUGCCAGCAGCCGCGGUAAUACAGAGGGUGCAAGCGUUAAUCGGAAUUACUGGGCGUAAAGCGCGCGUAGGUGGUUUGUUAAGUUGGAUGUGAAAUCCCCGGGCUCAACCUGGGAACUGCAUUCAAAACUGACUGACUAGAGUAUGGUAGAGGGUGGUGGAAUUUCCUGUGUAGCGGUGAAAUGCGUAGAUAUAGGAAGGAACACCAGUGGCGAAGGCGACCACCUGGACUAAUACUGACACUGAGGUGCGAAAGCGUGGGGAGCAAACA
rnacentral:rRNA from 1 species